rnacentral:rRNA from 1 species
CUGAAUAACUAUGCUGAUCGCACAGUCCACGUACUGGCGACGUAUCUUUCAAAUGUCUGGCUUAUCAACUUUCGACGGUAGUUUACACGGCUACCGUGGUAGUAACGGGUAACGGAGAAUAAGGGUUCGACUCCGGAGAGGGAGCCUGAGAAACGGCUACCACAUCCAAGGAAGGCAGCAGGCACGCAAAUUACCCACUCCCGGCACGGGGAGGUAGUGACGAAAAAUAACGAGACGGUUCUCUAAGAGGCCCGUCAUCGAAAUGGGUACAAUUUAAAUCCUUUAACGAGGAUCUAUUGGAGGGCAAGUCUGGUGCCAGCAGCCGCGGUAAUUCCAGCUCCAAAAGCGUAUAUUAAAGUUGUUGCGGUUAAAAAG